AGGGGAAUCUUCCACAAUGGACGCAAGUCUGAUGGAGCAACGCCGCGUGAGUGAAGAAGGCUUUCGGGUCGUAAAACUCUGUUAUUGAAGAAGAACGUGCGUGACAGUAACUGGUCAUGCAGUGACGGUAUUCAAUCAGAAAGUCACGGCUAACUACGUGCCAGCAGCCGCGGUAAUACGUAGGUGGCAAGCGUUGUCCGGAUUUAUUGGGCGUAAAGCGAGUGCAGGCGGUCUUUUAAGUCUGAUGUGAAAGCCUUCGGCUUAACCGAAGAAGGGCAUCGGAAACUGGGAGACUUGAGUGCAGA
rnacentral:rRNA from 1 species